ACGAACGUUGGCGGCGUGGAUUAGGCAUGCAAGUCGAACGAGGGCAGUUCUGUAGCAAUACAGAGCUGAACCGAGUGGCGAAAGGGGCAGUAAGGCGUGGGUAACCUACCCCGGGGAUCGGGAUAGCCAUUCUAACGAGUGGGUAAUACUGGGCGAUGCAGCGGCGACGCAUGUUGCUGCUGUGAAAUGAAUUUCGCCUCGGGAGGGGCUCACGUGGUAUUAGCUAGUUGGUGGGGUAAUGGCCUACCAAGGCAAAGAUGCCUAGCUGGUGUGAGAGCAUGACCAGCGCCACUGGCACUGAGACACUGGCCAGACUCCUACGGGAGGCUGCAGUCGAGGAUCUUCGGCAAUGGGCGCAAGCCUGACCGAGCGACGCCGCGUGCGCGAUGAAGGCCUUCGGGUUGUAAAGCGCUGUCGAAGGGAAGGAAAGCCGCAAGGUCUGACCUACCCUUGGAGGAAGCACGGGCUAAGUUCGU
rnacentral:rRNA from 1 species